rnacentral:rRNA from 1 species
GGGUUGUGAGGUUAAGCGACUAAGCGUACACGGUGGAUGCCCUGGCAGUCAGAGGCGAUGAAGGACGUGCUAAUCUGCGAAAAGCGUCGGUAAGGUGAUAUGAACCGUUAUAACCGGCGAUGUCCGAAUGGGGAAACCCAGUGUGAUUCGUCACACUAUCGUUAACUGAAUACAUAGGUUAACGAGGCGAACCGGGGGAACUGAAACAUCUAAGUACCCCGAGGAAAAGAAAUCAACCGAGAUUCCCCCAGUAGCGGCGAGCGAACGGGGAGCAGCCCAGAGUCUGAAUCAGCUUGUGUGUUAGUGGAACGGUCUGGAAAGUCCGACGGUACAGGGUGAUAGUCCCGUACACCAAAAUGCACAGGUUGUGAACUCGAAGAGUAGGGCGGGACACGUGGUAUCCUGUCUGAAUAUGGGGGGACCAUCCUCCAAGGCUAAAUACUCCUGACUGACCGAUAGUGAACCAGUACCGUGAGGGAAAGGCGAAAAGAACCCCGGCGAGGGGAGUGAAAAAGAACCUGAAACCGUGUACGUACAAGCAGUGGGAGCACCUUCGGGUGUGACUGCGUACCUUUUGUAUAAUGGGUCAGCGACUUAUAUUCUGUAGCAAGGUUAACCGUAUAGGGGAGCCGCAGGGAAACCGAGUCUUAACUGGGCGUUAAGUUGCAGGGUAUAGACCCGAAACCCGGUGAUCUAGCCAUGGGCAGGUUGAAGGUUGGGUAACACUAACUGGAGGACCGAACCGACUAAUGUUGAAAAAUUAGCGGAUGACUUGUGGCUGGGGGUGAAAGGCCAAUCAAACCGGGAGAUAGCUGGUUCUCCCCGAAAGCUAUUUAGGUAGCGCCUCGUGAAUUCAUCUUCGGGGGUAGAGCACUGUUUCGGCUAGGGGGUCAUCCCGACUUACCAACCCGAUGCAAACUACGAAUACCGAAGAAUGUUAUCACGGGAGACACACGGCGGGUGCUAACGUCCGUCGUGAAGAGGGAAACAACCCAGACCGCCAGCUAAGGUCCCAAAGUCAUGGUUAAGUGGGAAACGAUGUGGGAAGGCACAGACAGCCAGGAUGUUGGCUUAGAAGCAGCCAUCAUUUAAAGAAAGCGUAAUAGCUCACUGGUCGAGUCGGCCUGCGCGGAAGAUGUAACGGGGCUAAACCAUGCACCGAAGCUGCGGCAGCGACACUAUGUGUUGUUGGGUAGGGGAGCGUUCUGUAAGCCUGCGAAGGUGUGCUGUGAGGCAUGCUGGAGGUAUCAGAAGUGCGAAUGCUGACAUAAGUAACGAUAAAGCGGGUGAAAAGCCCGCUCGCCGGAAGACCAAGGGUUCCUGUCCAACGUUAAUCGGGGCAGGGUGAGUCGACCCCUAAGGCGAGGCCGAAAGGCGUAGUCGAUGGGAAACAGGUUAAUAUUCCUGUACUUGGUGUUACUGCGAAGGGGGGACGGAGAAGGCUAUGUUAGCCGGGCGACGGUUGUCCCGGUUUAAGCAUGUAGGCUGGUUGUCCAGGCAAAUCCGGAUAAUCAAGGCUGAGGUGUGAUGACGAGGCACUACGGUGCUGAAGUAACAAAUGCCCUGCUUCCAGGAAAAGCCUCUAAGCAUCAGGUAACAUCAAAUCGUACCCCAAACCGACACAGGUGGUCAGGUAGAGAAUACCAAGGCGCUUGAGAGAACUCGGGUGAAGGAACUAGGCAAAAUGGUGCCGUAACUUCGGGAGAAGGCACGCUGGUGUGUAGGUGAAGCCCCUGCGGGUGGAGCUGAGACCAGUCGAAGAUACCAGCUGGCUGCAACUGUUUAUUAAAAACACAGCACUGUGCAAACACGAAAGUGGACGUAUACGGUGUGACGCCUGCCCGGUGCCGGAAGGUUAAUUGAUGGGGUUAUCCGUAAGGAGAAGCUCUUGAUCGAAGCCCCGGUAAACGGCGGCCGUAACUAUAACGGUCCUAAGGUAGCGAAAUUCCUUGUCGGGUAAGUUCCGACCUGCACGAAUGGCGUAAUGAUGGCCAGGCUGUCUCCACCCGAGACUCAGUGAAAUUGAACUCGCUGUGAAGAUGCAGUGUACCCGCGGCAAGACGGAAAGACCCCGUGAACCUUUACUAUAGCUUGACACUGAACAUUGAGCCUUGAUGUGUAGGAUAGGUGGGAGGCUUUGAAGCGUGGACGCCAGUCUGCGUGGAGCCAACCUUGAAAUACCACCCUUUAAUGUUUGAUGUUCUAACGUUGGCCCCUGACCGGGGUUGCGGACAGUGUCUGGUGGGUAGUUUGACUGGGGCGGUCUCCUCCUAAAGCGUAACGGAGGAGCACGAAGGUUAGCUAAUCCUGGUCGGACAUCAGGAGGUUAGUGCAAUGGCAUAAGCUAGCUUGACUGCGAGCGUGACGGCGCGAGCAGGUGCGAAAGCAGGUCAUAGUGAUCCGGUGGUUCUGAAUGGAAGGGCCAUCGCUCAACGGAUAAAAGGUACUCCGGGGAUAACAGGCUGAUACCGCCCAAGAGUUCAUAUCGACGGCGGUGUUUGGCACCUCGAUGUCGGCUCAUCACAUCCUGGGGCUGAAGUAGGUCCCAAGGGUAUGGCUGUUCGCCAUUUAAAGUGGUACGCGAGCUGGGUUUAGAACGUCGUGAGACAGUUCGGUCCCUAUCUGCCGUGGGCGCUGGAGAAUUGAGGGGGGCUGCUCCUAGUACGAGAGGACCGGAGUGGACGCAUCACUGGUGUUCGGGUUGUCAUGCCAAUGGCACUGCCCGGUAGCUAAAUGCGGAAGAGAUAAGUGCUGAAAGCAUCUAAGCACGAAACUUGCCCCGAGAUGAGUUCUCCCUGAGACUUUAAGUCUCCUGAAGGAACGUUGAAGACGACGACGUUGAUAGGCCGGGUGUGUAAGCGCAGCGAUGCGUUGAGCUAACCGGUACUAAUGAACCGUGAGGCUUAACCUUACAACGCCGAAG